GGCCCUUGGCGAACGGGUACAGGUGCGCCAGCACCCAGAAGCUGAAGAAGACGCCGCCCAGCAGCUUGCUCCACUGCGGGAUCUCGCUGUAGAUGGUGCGGCUGAACCCGACCGCGAUGCCGAUCAGGUUCACCAUCAUGAUCACGAUGGGCGGGAUCAUCAGCGACGUCCACUUGACGAUGUACAGGUCCGCGAACUCGUCGUCCACGUCGUCGCCGCCCGACUUGGACGUCAGAGUGAAGGAGAUCUCGAUGCCCGCCACCACCUUCAGCAGGCCCUGCAGCACGGCCGCCAGGUGCGCGCUCGUGCCGCCGAUCAGCCAGAACUGCUCGUUCCGCCACCACUCCUCCAGGCUGAUCCCCGACCACUUGAUCUCCAGCACCGCCAGCAGGCACAGCGUCAGCGUGAUCACCAGCAGGUACGUCAGGAACGUCACGUUCAGCGUCUUCACGAUGAACUGC
rnacentral:misc_RNA from 1 species